UACGUAGGUCCCGAGCGUUGUCCGGAUUUAUUGGGCGUAAAGCGAGCGCAGGUGGUUUAUUAAGUCUGGUGUAAAAGGCAGUGGCUCAACCAUUGUAUGCAUUGGAAACUGUUAGACUUGAGUGCAGUAGAGGAGAGUGGAAUUCCAUGUGUAGCAGUGAAAUGCGUAGAUAUAUGGAGGAACACCGGUGGCGAAAGCGGCUCUCUGGACUGUAACUGACACUGAGGCUCGAAAGCGUGGGUAGCAAACAGG
rnacentral:rRNA from 1 species